GACCGACGACCGUUACAGUUCAAAAUGACGCGCAUGCGCACUACUCCAAAAGUCCGUGAGCGCUGCUAGUGGUUUCCCAUUCAAAUUACGUCACAGUUAACAUCGUACGUCUAGCGAUUUUAUUAAUCUAUUUUAUUUGUAUUUGAUGUAGAUUUAAACGCUAUAUUACACUGACAAUAAAUUACAAAUAAAUAAAUAAAUAAAUGAAUGAAUUAAUAAGUAAUAGACUAAAACACACAUUUGUGAGGUGCCAUCUGUGGAUCUCUGUAUUUUUUGGGAAGAUAUGUGAACAAAGUGUCAAUGUGGAAAAUAUGGGGAAAUUCAUGUUUUUCUGUAAGUGUUUAAAAUUCUUCAAACAUAAUGGAUAGUUUUGAUCGCAAGGCUUUCUUCCACGUGUAACCAGGCUGAAAUUAUAUCUUUACUUUUACGGUUGAAAUGUCACCAAAUCCUGAUGAACAUUGUUUCCUAUACAUUUAAGAUGUGUUCUGUUGCCAAUGUUUAUGGCUGGAUGUUGUAUUCAGACAUAGUGUUAAUACCUGUACUGUCACUUUAAGAGUGUCGCAGGCUUUGUGGCGUCAUUCACGCGCUUCCUUCAGUUUGCGCCAGACUAGCUGAGAGGAGGAGCUUGAGACCUGUGUAUUGUGUGGAGGAGACUGCAUGUGACAGAGCCUUAUGUAUUUUUUUGUUGAAUUGUACAGUUUGCGCCAGACUAGCUGAGAGGAGGAGCUUGAGACCUGUGUAUUGUGUGGAGGAGACUGCAUGUGACAGAGCCUUAUGUAUUUUUUUGUUGAAUUGUACAGUUUGCACCAGGUUUGCUGAGAGGAAACGAAUUUGCUGUUCGCCUUCAUUAAAAGAGAAACCAGCAGUACAGUUGGUCGUGGUCUGUGUCUUUCCUUCAUUCAACACAACAAGAACACAACGCAGAAUAUACAAGGGUUAAGGGACGUGCAUCCAACCUAACCAACUGUUAAAGACAGAGCGCGUCCGUUACACACACACAUUUGUAUUGUCGACUGUAAGAUUGGAAAUGUAUUUUCUUGCGCCCUGAAAUAUAUUUUUAUAUAUAAAUAUAUUUU